rnacentral:tRNA from 1 species
CUGCUUCUGAUUUGAAAUCCAUGCUGAAAUCGAUUAAUGUUCGAAUCAUUAUGGCCUUAAAUACCCUAUGCAGCA